AUUUUACCUCAAGCUUCCCCAAGUCCUUGACUGCUGCUCGUCUUCCACCACAUGCAUGAUGUCCUUGUUCCUUCGCUCUCUGGCGUUUAAUCAGUAGUUGAGUAAUGCACAGCUUUCUGAACAUUCCAGUUGUGGUUCUGCAGUGCUGCUCGGCACUCUUCUAUCGUCACACCGUGAACUGCUUCCUGCACCUGAGUCACACAACAAUUCCGGGUGAUACCAGCCAAAUGAGCAGAGGCCCCACGCCAUUGGAUGGAACGACCGUCAUUUGAGACUACAAAAAAGUGACGCCAUUCCUGUCUGGAUAUGCCUCCUACUAUAAAAAACUACUAUGAAAAAUAUAGACUGGAUCUUGUUCUCAGACUAGAGCUGUCCUAUCUAGUCUGACCUGAGCAUGAAAUGAUCUGGGAUGGGAGGCGGAACGUCUUCUCUACAAUGACUUGAACGAAUGUGAUUUUAUAAUGCAGUAUUUUCGUACGGUCAAUCCCCGUCUCUUCAUGGGUGUUCCGGAAGCACCAGCACACAGGUGUCUCCCCUUCUCGAAACCGUUUUUCUAUCUUCACCUUGACAAUUUCCUCCAAUCAACAUUUGCGACGACUGCAGUAAUAGUUCUACUAAACUAAAAGUUCAGCUGUAGAACCCUCCUCUCUUCAUUUGGCAUUUAACUCGCAACACAAUGCCACACUUGGACAUUUCUAGUGUAAAACGUAUAAGUGAUCGCCACUAAUAAUAAUGUCAUAUGAUCAAUUAACGGAGAGCAAUGGUGUCACGGUGCAGCCUUUGGACUAUAGGAUAGACAGGAUAGAGACGGGCGUUUCUCCAAGUGUGCAUGGUUCUAAUUCCAGGAACGAUUUACGAUUUUAUCGCUCAAAUGCUGGAUUGACCAUUGAACGGCUGCCCAACAAAACACACUUGACAAAAAAUAUGAUGACUGAAGCAUGAAGACGGUACAUAUAGAUCAGGGGUGGGCAAAUAUUUUGACUCAUGGGCCACAUCAAGUUUACAAAAUUGUCCAGGGGGCCAGAACAUAUAACACACACACAAUUUUAUGCUUAUACUUUUCCUUGAAUUAUUUGUCUAAUUUUAACUAUAAAAGUGUUAUACUAUCAGCUUUAUGUUCUCAUGUAUGUUCCUUUGUUCAGGAGCACUUUAAACAUCAGACCACAUCAAACUGUAAUUGUAAUUUGUAAUAAAUUGUAAUAAAAUGUAAUUUAUGUUAAUGGUAAU